AUUAAGAUGAGCCUCUCGUUGACAACGGCAAAGCCUCCACCCAACUCUUGCAAAUCAGCUGAAGAACCACUGGAGACGAAAAGCAUGCAAGAGUUCAUACUCUUCGCCAAGGACAUGCUCAGUCAGAAACCCAGUCGACAUCUGAUCAAGGAGAGCCAAUGGAUGCAGAGAUGCUCCUCGUGAUGGCUAAGGAGCAAAAGACUGUUGCCUCCGUGACACAAUGCAAAGACAAGGUGCUGGCAAAGUGGGAAGAGCAAGAGCAGGACAUGAUCCUGGGCAUGACUUUCACCAAGGUCUAC